CCCUUAGACACUUUAGGCAGCACGCGCGCUACAAUGGUCUUCGCAAACGGAUGCAUUCUCGAAGGAGAAUGCCAAUCUUGGAAUCUAUGCCUUGGUCGGGACAGUUGCUUGCAAUUUUUCGACUCGAACCAGGAAUUCCUUGUAAUCGUGAUUCAUCACAUCACGAUGAAUACGUCCCUGCCCUUUGUACACACCGCCCGUCGCCCCUACCGAUCGAAGAGUUAGGUGAAUUGUUUUGAUCGAUAAGAUUUGACUAUGGUCAACUCUCGUUGUGAAAUUCUGUGAAUCUGACUGUUUAGAGGAAGGAAAAGUCGUAACA
rnacentral:rRNA from 1 species